rnacentral:lncRNA from 1 species
AACUUUCACCUUCCGAACUCGCCUUCUUUCAUUGGACAAAGUACAGAAAGAAAGAGGAGAGACCGAGGGAGGACGGGAGAGAAGGAGAAAGGGGGUUGAAAACACCACCCUACCUCCCCCUCCUUCAACUGUCACUGAUGGCAAAACACUUUCACUUUUAACUGGAGGAAACUCACAUCCCUGUCUAUCCUCUCCUCUUCCUUCUGUAUUUUUAGCUCAGAAACCAAGCAAAUAGCCAUCGUAUUACGAUCUUCGUCCCUAGUUGCUAACACUCUCCCUCUCGUUUUUUUUCCCCCAGUGUCUGAAUGGGCCCCCCUUUGCCCCUCUUCUGAAGAAUCCCCCUCCCCCAUGCCCCUUGUUUUCCAGGUCUUUCUUGCCUGAUUCCUCUUUUGCCAGGGACUGCUCUGGCGUGGCCCUCCUCUCUCGGGUCUGCAGGCUCUGCCUCCUUCUCCCCCAUCCAGCCUGGAUGCCCCUCACUCCCACCUCUCUGAUCCCCUUGCCCCCAAUUCCCACCUCCCCCAGCCCUGCUUUGGCAACUGCGAUUUUUUUUUUUUUUUUUUUUUGCUGCAAGCCUUGUUGUUUACCCAGCAGGUGGAUGUGACGUCAGGGACGCACAACAGCAAAAAAUAACAACAUCUCCCUCCGCGACGUGUUGGCCUCCCGCGCGCCUUAUUUAUUUAUUUGUUCCGGGGGUGAGGGUGGGGGCGGGCACCAGCACCUAAGUGUCUUGGGGAAGGAGGGUGAGCAGGCUCAAGCCCGGGGGUGGUUUGUGGGCGCGUGAGGUGGAGAAGGGGCCCAGGCUGGAUGCCAGGGGUGGGAGCAGGCUGGGGAAAGCCCCGGGCCCGACGCCGUCCGCGCCUCUGCGGCCGCCGCCACCACUGGCGCUAGCUGGGCUCCGGGAAGCUAGUCCGGAGCGGAGGAAUCUAUUGUUAUUUAUUGUGUGGCGGUUUCAUGCUGUACUCGCGCGGCCCGGCCCUCGCCCGGGAGUGCGUGUGUGUGUGCGUGUGUGUCUGUGUGUGUGUGUGUAUAUGUGAGCGCGCGCGCGUGUGUGACCAAGUGAGUGUGUUUGCGGGGGUGCGCGCGCGGGCGGGAGUGGGCGCGCUCGGGGAAAGGCCCGAAAACACCUUAGUUUGCACCGAGAGACCAUUUGCUGCGGAACCCGAAAGUUUGCAAGAGGAAGAGAGCGUGUGGCGAGCAAGCGGGCCAGGGGCAGCGGCAGCGGCGCCGGGGACCAUGGUGCUGCCGGCGCCUCCUCCGCGGGCGUGAAGGCGGCGCUCCCACUCCCUCCCGGGUCUCCGCGGGUAAGUCGAGGCGGCUGCGGCCGCGGGCGGGUGCGCAGGGUCUAGGGACACCCUAGAGCUUUGGGUUGCGCCCGGGGGUUCUCUGUGCCCAAAGCCUCAGCAUGGGCGGCGCGAGCGCAGCGAUCUGGCGCCGGAGCCAGGAAUGCGCCUGUCCUCAAGCCGGUAGGUGCUUCGAAAUAUUAGACUUUCUCCUUUUUCCCCCUUUUCUUUCCAAAAUCCGAAAAUCUAGAGAUCAAAGUUUAGCGUGGAGUAUAAAGUGCUCUGAUAAAAUAUGAUGACAUCCCUCGCUCCCCUUCUCACCCUUCUCCCCCCCCCCCCCCCCCCCCUUUCCCCUUUAUUUCCAAGUCAUUGUGUCCAAAUACCCUUGCCGGGCUGAUUACAAAGUGUAUUGAUUUAGUCUAGGCUCAUCCUACGCGUUCGUUUUAAUUCCUUUUCUUUUGCUCAACCAGAAAACCCGAAAUGAAACUUAUUUGUUCCUCUGUGCACCCCCUGCCCCCAGCCUUCGAGGCUUGGACAGAAUAAUGAAAUUAAUAUAAACAUUUCAUUUGGUUGCAUUUGAGCUUUUCCAGCCCACUUAGGAGGGGCUGGUGUUGCUCUCAUGUCUGGU